UACGAAGGGUGCAAGCGUUGCUCGGAUUUACUGGGCGUAAAGGGCGCGUAGGCGGACAGUUAAGUUGGGGGUGAAAGCCCGGGGCUCAACCUCGGAAUUGCCUUCAAUACUGGCUGUCUUGAGUGUGAGAGAGGUGUGUGGAACUCCGAGUGUAGAGGUGAAAUUCGUAGAUAUUCGGAAGAACACCAGUGGCGAAGGCGACACACUGGCUCACUACUGACGCUGAGGCGCGAAAAGCGUGGGGGAGCAAACAGG
rnacentral:rRNA from 1 species